AGUGAACGCUGGCGGUAGGCCUAACACAUGCAAGUCGAACGGCAGCACAGUAAGAGCUUGCUCUUACGGGUGGCGAGUGUCGGACGGGUGGGGAAUACAUCGGAAUCUACUUUUUCGUGGGGGAUAACGUAGGGAAACUUACGCUAAUACCGCAUACGACCUACGGUUGAAAGCAGGGGAUCUUCGGACCUUGCGCGAUUGAAUGAGCCGAUGUCGGAUUAGCUAGUUGGCGGGGUAAAGGCCCACCAAGGCGACGAUCCGUAGCUGGACUGAGAGGAUGAUCAGCCACACUGGAACUGAGACACGGUCCAGACUCCUACGGGAGGCAGCAGUGGGGAAUAUUGGACAAUGGGCGCAAGCCUGAUCCAGCCAUACCGCGUGGGUGAAGAAGGCCUUCGGGUUGUAAAGCCCUUUUGUUGGGAAAGAAAAGCAGCAGGUUAAUACCCCGCUGUUCUGACGGUACCCAAAGAAUAAGCACCGGCUAACUUCGUG
rnacentral:rRNA from 1 species